rnacentral:rRNA from 1 species
UACGUAGGGUGCAAGCGUUGUCCGGAAUUAUUGGGCGUAAAGAGCUCGUAGGCGGCCUGUCGCGUCGGCUGUGAAAACCCGGGGCUCAACCCCGGGCCUGCAGUCGAUACGGGCAGGCUAGAGUCCGGUAGGGGAGACUGGAAUUCCUGGUGUAGCGGUGAAAUGCGCAGAUAUCAGGAGGAACACCGGUGGCGAAGGCGGUUCUCUGGGAAUAUCCUGACGCUGAGGAGCGAAAGUGUGGGGAGCGAACAGG